rnacentral:rRNA from 1 species
UGGGGAAUCUUGCGCAAUGGGCGAAAGCCUGACGCAGCAACGCCGCGUGGAGGAUGAAGGCCCUUGGGUUGUAAACUCCUGUCGGCUGGGAAGAAAUCAUACGGCGCUCAUACCGCCGUAUGUUGACUGUACCAGCAAAGGAAGCCCCGGCUAACUCUGUGCCAGCAGCCGCGGUAAUACAGAGGGGGCCAGCGUUAUUCGGAAUUAUUGGGCGUAAAGGGCGCGUAGGCGGCCAUGCGUGUCUUCCGUGAAAUCCCUCGGCUUAACUGAGGACGUGCGGAAGAAACUGCAAGGCUCGAGUCCGGGAGAGGGGGGUGGAAUUCCCAGCGUAGCGGUGAAAUGCGUAGAUAUUGGGAGGAACACCGGUGGCGAAGGCGGCCCCCUGGACCGGUACUGACGCUGAGGCGCGAAAGCGUGGGUAGCAAACGGGAUUAGAUACCCCGGUAGUCCACGCCGUAAACGAUGGGCACUUGGUGUCGCGGGUAUCGACCCCUGCGGUGCCGAAGCUAACGCAUUAAGUGCCCCGCCUGGGGAGUACGGUCGCAAGGCUGA